UACAUGGGGUUAAGCUCAGGACCUCAGAGGGUGAGGCGUUUCUGAGUAGCCAACAGGGUCUUUUCACAGUCUUGUUCAGAAGAUCCGAAGUUAAAAGCUCCGUCUCCAGUUCCUUAGAUCUCUGGAGCCAGUGGACCCUGAGCCAGAACUGUGACUGUCUGACAGCCUUGAGCCACACUGAGACAAGACAGAGCUGCUCUCCAGUUCCUGGGAAGCCUGGAUUUUCUCUGCCGGCAGCCAGCGGGGACUGGCCUAUCGUGCCACAUCUGUGGGCAAAGGGCCUGGAGAAAUGCUGGCAUGUUUUAUGCGUGUGCAAACUGACUUUAUUUUAGGAAUGAAAAAAAUACUUCCUUGGGUACCUUUAGUGCUGGAUACUGAGCGUAGACUUUGUGCAUGAGAGGAGGAUGCUUUCGCACUGAGGCACAUCAUCAUCUUGCAGGGUUGAUACUGUGGAAGGGAAGGCCAGAAGCUUCCCUGAGGAGAAGCUCUUCAGCUGUGUUCCCUGGACUGAAGGCGUUUGAAGAUCUAGUUUCUGAGGGUGGAGAGAACUGAAGAACUUUAAGAACAUGUGAAUCUCAUCACAUCUGAAUAAGCACAAUCGGGAGCUGGGCCUGCCUGGAUUUCAUCUAGAAGCCAAGAAGCACCGUUCAGCUUAGCACAGGGAAAGAAAAUAAUUGCUCUGCUUCUUCUUUAUUGAGUCCAACUCAUUUAAUGAAACAAUGACUCAGUAAUAAGAAAUCGGGGCUUGAAACCUCUCUCUGGAUGGUCUGAGACAUGCAAUACGAUUUGAGUGUAGCACUGGGAGCAAGAUUUGUUCACUGAGAAGUCCUUAUACAUUGAGAACCCAGCCUUAGAGAGACGGCCUUUUAAUUAUUCCUUCUUUUAGCUUCGCCCUCUGUGCUUUGGCUAUCUAUCAUCAUGAAAAAUAGAUUCCAAAAGACCAGCUGAAUUCCUCUGCCACUUUUAGCAAAGAACUGAGCACAUGGACGUGAUAAACAUAGGAAUUAUUUGGCAAAGACUGAAGCCAAGGAGUGAGAAGGUAACAGCCACAUCAGGCUAGAGAUGGACCCCACCACAGGGAGAACCCUGUGCAUUCAUUCAGCUCUUCCAGAAGGGCAGGGGCAGGUGGGCAAAGCUCAGGGACGGGCUCUGGUACACCCUGAAAGGCUGGAGUAAGCAGAGGAGGAAGGGAGAAAGAAGAGCGGUGGGGACCUAGCCAGCUAAGUAUCUGCAAACUACAGAAGCACUCUGGUAUAGAGCUGCCAGACCUAGCCCCCAACCAAAACAAAACCAAGACCCUCGUCCUUGACUGCUUUCCUUCAGAGGAUCUGGUAGAUGAGGGGAGACAGAGCACUAUUUGUAGCAUUUGCUACUGUGGCAAGUAGAGUCACCAACCAUUAAAGGAAAAAAGUAAAACUGUGUAGAAACAUAUAUUCUCUAUAUGAAUCUGAGAGAGGGCAACCUUCAGUGAUAGCAAGAUGGAUCAAUUAUUGUCACCCAGAAACUAAAUCACAGUGAAGAAAUAUUGUGUACUUUGGUAAUAGAAAGGAUGCCAGAGAUAGCAAAUUUAUAUUACUUGCUUUAAAGAAAUAUGGCUUGGAUAUGACAAUGAAAAGCAUAUUAAAAAGUAGAGGCAUCCAGCCUUUAAUUUAAUUUCGAGUCAAGUAAUCAGGGUGAAUUUAUUCCUCUUGCAACACAUAAUUUUAACCUUUUAUUAUGCAAAACUGACAAUUCAGUUUAAAUUGCAUGGGUAUGUUUGUUCAGCAUGAUUGAUUUUAAUGAUAUUUACCAUUUACUGGAUCUCCUAAAAGGUGGAACAUCUUGAAAAUUUCUCACAAGUCACUUCAAAUCUGUUUCAGAUCCUUCCUGGCCACUGAGAGCCCACAGAGGUUUUUGAAAAACAGAGCCAAGUGCUGCAUUGGUAGCAGUGUUAGACGGGAGCUUUUCACAUCAACAAAUUCUUAACAUAGAGGAAGUUCUUGUUACUUCAGGGGCUCCCACUGCGGGCACCUCCAGCUCCCAUCGUGUAAUGCCAGCACCAGGACAUGUUAUAGGGAAAAGUACAACUGUCCUCCCCCUGCCAGCAUUUCAGUUCUGAGGUGCUGAACGAUGGAGCAGAAAGUAGCUCCUACUCCUGCUCUCCCUUCCCACCCUCAUCUCCAAUUAGCCUUCAAAAUUCUGAAGAGUGAUGCUGCACAUAUUGUAAGAUAGCAGGUAACAGCGCACAUGUGAACAUCACCGCUCACAGGACACCACAGGAGUCCAGAGAGAACUGAAAUACAUGAUGAGGAUACAGAGAUAAACCAGGAGCUCAGAUGGAGGAAGUCAUUUGCUUACCAUCAGCUGGACAGGCCAGACAGGUGUCCCAGAAACCUGAACCUCAAAAAUUAAAUCUUCAUUGAGUAAAUCAUGUGGUUUUUAUGAUCAGGCUACAAAAGGUAAUAGUUUACUGUGCACAGGGACUUUUCUUUGUUUUCUCAGCCUUCUGUCCCACUGUGGCUCUCUCUGAUUGUCUCACAGGACUUCCACAUACAUUGUAGGCCUGAUACCCGCAGGUGUCCAGGGGUUCCCUGGGCCAGCAGCGUCCAGCAUCGUGAAUACCAGAUCCAUUUCUAGCCAGACAGUAAUUCUGAAUGCGUGCAGUAGAUUCACACAUAUUAUUCCAUAGAUCUUAACAUCCACAGUCCAGGUUUGGUUUCGUUUUUAAUUGGAUUUUCUUAAAUCAAAGUACAUAUUAAUUUGUGUUGCCAUCAAUAUCUUAAAGUUCAAGUUCCUGCUUAAAAAAAAAACUGUGAUUGUACCAGAGAUUUUUCUCACUAGCUCUGCACAGUCUCCAAAGCCACCAUUUAAAUAGAUGUCUCUACUGAUUUCCCUUUUCCUGGCACACUUACAUCGGGACUCCUAACACAUCCUCACACUCUUUCCUUUUCUCAGACCCCAGACAUUCUGCAGAACAGAAGUCUUCAAGGUUAGAAGAAUCUGUCUUUCCAGAGAUAUCAUGUGCAAAUACCAGCAAGAAGGUCUUUCUGGGUUCUCCAUAGAUGCAGGCAUACGAUGAAGAUAUACAUAUGCGUAUUGUCAUGGUUUAUGUCGGUGUCCCCCAGGCCUCAUGCAUUUGCAUUAUGUAUUUGUCAUUGGUUCAUUGUCUAGCGCUUAGAUUGACGGUGUCAGUGCUACACUCACAUAAGGAUAGAGCCAGAAUACAAUGCAGUGGCAGGAAUAAGGUAUAUCUUUCGCUUUCUUGCUAGUUUCUGCCUUGCUGUUUGCAGCCACCAUGAACUGUAGUCCUACCAUGCCUCCCUGCCUUGAGCCAACUGAGUAUGGACUAAAACCUCCAAAAACUGCAAGAAAUAAACCUUUCCUUUCCCAACUUUGGACAUCAGGUAUUUUGUCUCAGCGACCAGAAAAAAUAACUAAGA